GGUGAACGCUGGCGGCGUGCUUAAGACAUGCAAGUCGAACGGCAGUCUUCGGACUGUAGUGGCGCACGGGUGAGUAACGCGUAACUGACCUACCCCAAAGUCGCGGAUAACGAUUCGAAAGAAUCGCUAAUACGUGAUGUGCUGUCAGAUCCUGUUCUGCCAGUAAAGAUUGAUUGCUUUGGGAUGGGGUUGCGUUCCAUCAGCUAGUUGGUGGGGUAAAGGCCCACCAAGGCGACGACGGAUAGCCGGCCUGAGAGGGUGGCCGGCCACAGGGGCACUGAGACACGGGUCCCACUCCUACGGGAGGCAGCAGUUAGGAAUCUUCCACAAUGGGCGAAAGCCCGAUGGAGCGACGCCGCGUGAGGGAUGAAGGUCUUCGGAUCGUAAACCUCUGAAUCAGGGACGAAAGACACUUCGGUGGGAUGACGGUACCUGAGUAAUAGCACCGGCAAACUUCGUGCCAGCCGCCGCCGUAAGAC
rnacentral:rRNA from 1 species